AUGCACGUACUAGUCAAUACAAACCUAUGGAAGGCAAAGAGAAGGUAGUUUCAAGGGACGCUUAGCAGUGCAGAGGCUCAGGAGCUGAGCUGUUACCACCUCUGGGAGCUAAUCGACAGCACUUGGUUUCUCGCCAUGAUUUCUGCAUCCAUUUUUAUUCCUUGCUUCCCAAAGUGCUUCCUCUUCUUGACAUGUUGAUUUCUUAGCUUGCAGCCUGGCUGAUUAUAGGACAGCAAGCAGCCCAUGAAGUUGGUCUGUUCAGAGGGGGCAUCCUCCCAGAGGCGUUUGGAGAUAUCUCCACCCAGGACUGUCCCUCCUCACAAAGAAAUGACUGCCUGACAGGUAUGCAACAUUCUGUACUCAUAGGCCCCACCUCUCUACUAAGAAGAGGGAGUCGGGAACUCUGU
rnacentral:lncRNA from 1 species